UAUACCUACCCUUAUAUGCCACCCAACACACACAGAGGAAAGGAAGGGAAAAAAGGGUGGGCCUGGGGAGAAAACAGAACAUAAAGAGAAACAGAAGGGAAAAGGAAUGAAAACAGAUUAAAAGCAGCCCCAUCUUAUUAUCUUUGGAGACUCUCAAUCCUUGAGCAACAAUAGUCCUCUCCCAUCAUUCCUUGAUCGUUGGUCCCAUCUUUGGCUGUGUUUUGAGGCAUUUCUCUCACUUUGUCUAUGAUUUCUCAUUACCAGUCAAUAUGUGCCUUGUUGGAUUUUGUCUAUGUUAUUUUUUUGAGAUGAUCUUUAUUGAUUCUAUAUGAUCUUCUAUUGAGCUUAGUCUCAGAGGGGCGUUUAAGUGGACAUAUGUAAUCUUUGUGCUUACUCCAAUUAGUUUCUGUAGCGUUGCUAUUCUUAAUUAUUUCAAUGUUUGUUUUAGUUGGUUUCUUUUACUUGAAUACUUUGUUUGUUUCUCUACUCAAUUCCUUGUACAUGCUUUAUUUUUCAUAUCGUGAUUUUUCUACUUCAUUUAUUAGUAGUUUGAUAGGAGUUACCUAGAUAAGUUUUGGUUUUUUUAUUACUCUUUUGGCAGUAAUUGUAAAGUUCUUGGGUUCAAUCAAUUAUACGUUAGUAAGUUUAGGCAC
rnacentral:lncRNA from 1 species